rnacentral:rRNA from 1 species
UACGUAGGGUGCAAGCGUUAAUCGGAAUUACUGGGCGUAAAGCGUGCGCAGGCGGUGAUGUAAGACAGUUGUGAAAUCCCCGGGCUCAACCUGGGAACUGCAUCUGUGACUGCAUCGCUGGAGUACGGUAGAGGGGGAUGGAAUUCCGCGUGUAGCAGUGAAAUGCGUAGAUAUGCGGAGGAACACCGAUGGCGAAGGCAAUCCCCCUGGACCUGUACUGACGCUCAUGCACGAAAGCGUGGGGAGCAAACAGG